GGUUAAGUGACUAAGCGUACACGGUGGAUGCCUUGGCAGUCAGAGGCGAUGAAAGACGUAGUAACUUGCGAUAAGCCCAGAUUAGGUAGUAACAACCAUUUGAGUCUGGGAUUUCUGAAUGGGGAAACCCACGUGCAUAAGCACGUAUCCUUACCUGAAUACAUAGGGUAAGGAGGCGAACCGGGGGAACUGAAACAUCUAAGUACCCCGAGGAAAAGAAAUCAACCGAGAUUCCGAAAGUAGCGGCGAGCGAAAUUGGACUAGCCCUUAAGCUUUACACGCGUUAGACGAACGGUCUGGAAAGUCCGACGAUACAGGGUGAUAGUCCCGUAGUUGACGACGUGUGUUCAGUGAAAUCGAGUAGGGCGGGACACGUGAUAUCCUGUCUGAAUAUGGGGGGACCAUCCUCCAAGGCUAAAUACUACUGACUGACCGAUAGUGAACCAGUACCGUGAGGGAAAGGCGAAAAGAACCCCUGUGAGGGGAGUGAAAUAGAACCUGAAACCGUGUACGUACAAGCAGUAGGAGCAGGCUUUGUCCUGUGACUGCGUACCUUUUGUAUAAUGGGUCAGCGACUUAUAUUCAGUGGCAAGGUUAACCAUCUAGGGGAGCCGUAGGGAAACCGAGUCUUAACUGGGCGUUCAGUCUCUGGAUAUAGACCCGAAACCAGGUGAUCUAGCCAUGGGCAGGUUGAAGGUUGAGUAACAUCAACUGGAGGACCGAACCGACUAAUGUUGAAAAAUUAGCGGAUGACUUGUGGCUAGGGGUGAAAGGCCAAUCAAACCUGGAGAUAGCUGGUUCUCCCCGAAAGCUAUUUAGGUAGCGCCUCGGACGAAUACUACUGGGGGUAGAGCACUGUUAAGGCUAGGGGGUCAUCCCGACUUACCAACCCUUUGCAAACUCCGAAUACCAGUAAGUACUAUCCGGGAGACACACGGCGGGUGCUAACGUCCGUCGUGGAGAGGGAAACAACCCAGACCGCCAGCUAAGGUCCCAAAUUACUACUAAGUGGGAAACGAUGUGGGAAGGCUCAGACAGCCAGGAUGUUGGCUUAGAAGCAGCCAUCAUUUAAAGAAAGCGUAAUAGCUCACUGGUCGAGUCGGCCUGCGCGGAAGAUGUAACGGGGCUAAGUAGUAAACCGAAGCUGCGGCAAUAUACUUUUGUAUAUUGGGUAGGGGAGCGUUCUGUAAGCGGUUGAAGGUGUGUGGUAACGCAUGCUGGACGUAUCAGAAGUGCGAAUGCUGACAUGAGUAACGAUAAAGGGGGUGAAAAACCUCCUCGCCGGAAGACCAAGGGUUCCUGUCCAACGUUAAUCGGGGCAGGGUAAGUCGACCCCUAAGGCGAGGCCGAAAGGCGUAGUCGAUGGGAAACGGGUUAAUAUUCCCGUACUUCUUACAAUUGCGAUGGGGGGACGGAGAAGGCUAGGUGGGCCUGGCGACGGUUGUCCAGGUUCAAGUGCGUAGGCUU
rnacentral:rRNA from 1 species